UCCGGUCCUAAAAGGUGUGCUUGGGUCGAGGCAGCGGCUCUGUUUCCUUGCUCCUUCCUAACAAGUGUUUCCUGCUCCUUGCUGCCUGUGAUUAUGUGGAGCUCACGAAGCGCUAGGAUUUCCUCCCCUGGAAACCCCGCUGGCCUCACGGUGCUCUCUCCUCUGCUCUCGUCGGAGGGCUGGGUAACUCAUUAUUCCAGCCCUGCAAUCUCGGCUGGGAAAGCCGCCGCCUGGGAAACCGCAGCCACCACCAGCGCUCCCGCUUCCUACAGCGGCAGCCCCGAAGCAGAGGCUCCUACAGCCAUCCCACUGCUCUCACUUCCAUGGACAGCACUCAGCUCCAUCCAGAAUGGAGACAGAGCUCUCAUCUGCCUGCUGAAAGAACCGACAGGGCAACAGAGAAGCAGCACUGCAAGCAGGUGCAGCAGUGGCUUUGCAUGACUGCAGGAUGCCAGGAGAAAUGAACCAGGACAUGGCCACCACAUGGACUUUCUGGAGCAAGAGUAAACUCAGGUUUUCAGGAGUGACCUUGGAAAAAGAGUGAGCUGUAGUUCUUCACAGCAUGGAUGAUAACAGGUUUGACACCAUUCAAACUGUCUGAAGGCUGCCCAGUUUUUAUUUUAUUUCAUUUCGAGGUAUCACCAAGACCCGGUUGAAUUACAUUGCCAACUCUUUCAUAAAAGAAAGAAAAGUGACUUUGCUUUCCCGCAAAGGGAUAGGGCUUAUGGGAGUCACUCAAACGUGUGUGUAACCCCUUUUUCUUUUUUUUCUUUUCUUUCUCUUUUUUUCUUUCCCUGCAAGCGUGUAAUAGCUAAAAUUUGCAGGUGAAAGGCUUUGGGAACCUACUUGCUCUAGUAAAUAAAAAUGUUUAAUCACCACAGAAAGAAGCAGAUGCAGACCCUUGAGUCUGCAGCUUCAAGCCUGCAAGCGGGAUUAUAUUAAUUGUUACUAUCCGGCGAAGACUUGAGAGGUGCCGUCCCGGGGCGCGCCCCUGGGGUACACCCGUGAGGACCACACGGACCCCCAGGCGAGCGCGGCUUCUGCCUCGCUCACCGCCGGUCCGCGAGCGGGGGAUCCUGGGCGAUGGCUGCCUUGACACCCCUGGCUGCCUCAGCUGCACCGAGUCUCACUCACUGCUGCCAGAAGGUGCCGCCGUCCGCCUGCGAAUCGCUCCCAGCCCAAUUAGGCGGCAGGUAUCGGCUGCAAUCAAGACUGCUGAUAGAGAUAAAUUGGGAAGGCACUACCUGCCCAACAAUAAUGUGUGCGUAUGUGUGUUUUUUUAAGGGAAAAAUACUAGAGAGAAAAAGAGAGAGAGAAGAAAACAAUUGAACUUUUCAUCAGCUGCUAAUCAUGAUUUUUUUUAUUGCUUUGCUUAGCAUUUUCUGGGGAAUAAAACCUUAGAGGAGCCCAGUCUUUUGUGUAAAAUGAAAGGGCAUAUAAAAAAAUGAAUGUACAUGGAUUCUAAAUAUUUCAGGUUGUAUGACUUUGUGUUUGACCUUAGCAGAAGAUGAACUAAUCCUGCAAUAUAAUAGACUUUCAUAGAGAUAUGGAAAAUGGCUGCUUUUUUAUCUCAGUUGCCAUGGGAACCAUCAGAGGAAAAGGCCUAGCUGAGAUGCAAUAGAAGGUUAUUAAAUGUGUGCUUGUGUAUAUUGGAAAAAUACAGCUUUUUGUCAUCUUGUGUCACUCAUAGGUCUUUAAUGCGUAAUGUUUAGGUUAUUAAUAAACUAACACAGGUCCAUUUUUUGCAGAGAACGAACAACUGUGAACACAGCCAUAUAAAAUUAGUACAAGUUGAACAUUUGCAAAACUCUCAAGCAUGGGCAGGGGCUGUUGCUUGCCUGCAAUAUCCCAUGAAAGUUUCUUUCUCUUUCCAGGCAGGAACAAGAUGAGAUUUGCUGGACAGGCAGAGGGGACCAGGGGAUGGUGGGUGUCCUGUCCCCAACCCAGAAUCUUGCUGUACCCCUGGUCUGGGGUCCAGGGCAGUCUUAGUAAUAUGUGAUGUGCUGUAGUGGGGCAGAAUAAAAUGUUUCCUUGUCUGGUUCCUUGGCAGGUACUAACAGAAGAAAGAAGGGUUGGGUGAGCCAAAGGGACAUCUGUCCCUAGGUCUGGGUUGGAGGAUCUCCUGUUCUUGGAGUUGGGGGCUGCAGACCCAGACUGGGAGACAUUUACUGUUAUAUAGAUAAAUUUUGGGAGGGGAAAAAAAAACCAAAACCACACACACACAAAAAAAACAAAACAAAACAAAACAAAACAAAACCAAAAAAAAAAAAAAUUAAGAAACAAGGAGAGUAGAGGAAGAGAGAAAGAAAGGAAGGAAAAUUUCAUAUUGCCCUGAGCUGAAAGGGACAGACUUCACGUAACUCUAGGAGCAAAUAACUCCCUUUCUGUAAGGUUUAGUUUUGUCCCUCAGAAUCACCAAUUGCUUCCUAAAUUUAGUCUGCCUCAGGUGCCCUGUGACUGGGAGGUGGAGGGAUCACCCAGCACCAACAGUGAAGGCUAGAAGCCAGCCCAGCCCUUGGAGGACCCAAGGGACUGGCAGGGCUCCAUGACCAAGGUUUGGGGAGAACAAGCUGAGGAAAGCACUGGGAGUUUUUACUAGAAUUACCCAGCUGGACCCUGAGACUGCUGAGGGCUGGGGCAGGAUUGGGACACUGCUGAGCCUGGACAUGGCUUUCUGGGUGGGGACAGAGAUGCUGCCAUGCACUUCAUCACUCCUGAAGCAGUGACUGCCCAUGAAUGCAGGUGAAGGUGGCUGUGGGUGCAGGAGUGAGUGUGAGCAGGUGCCUGGAAUGCCCAGGAUGAUGUUCACAACUCUUCUCCCUUCCCUGCAAAUCCACCAGUACCUCAGCAGAGCAACUCCAAAUUUUCAAGCAUUCUGUGUUGCAGCACCCUGCAUGGUGAGCUGUUGUCCCACCCUGCUCCCCUGGAUUGGGUAUGGACAGGGGACCCUCUUGUCACUCCAUGGAAUCCACAGCAAAGACACGAGUGUGAGAAGAGCCUCGGGGGUGUCCCAGGCCCAGCUGGGGGCAACCCUCAUGCACAGCAGCCCCACAUCCAUGCAGACUCAAUAAAGCAAGGAAUACAUAGAUUUUGCCUAUCUGCCGAUCAAACGUGGAGAUCUGCUCUGGUAAAUGAUGCAUUAGAUGCGGUGGCUGUAUUUGUUGUGUGAGUUUUGAAAGGGUUCUGAUAAUCUGGAAAUGAGAGAUAAGGAACACCAUUUAUUCAGCAGCACUUUGGAACCAAUUUUCAACCCUGUUCAACCCCAUUCUCCAGCAGCCUCCAGGAGCCCAGGAGAUAAGAAUUGGGCUAUUCAUUAUCUUCACAAGGAACAAAGAUUAGCUAGCAGAGAUGAAAAAUUACCCCUGGAUAGUAAUAAUAAGAAAGCGAACCUGGAGAGCUGCUGAGCCUAUAUUCUCCUUGCUGUUGGUGCUGCUUCUUCUCUUUUAAAAUUCUCUCCCUCUUUUUUUGUUGAAUCAAUAUUGAAAAGGUUGGGGUGUUUUUCUUCUUCUUCUUCUUUUUUUUCCCCCUUCUUUUUUAAAGUUUUUAAUGAGGGAGGAAAUAUUCCCCCACUGUCUAUCAUGUUUUUCAAUAUGCAGAAUAUGGUUGUUACCAAGAAAGAGAGCAAUCCCCCCUUCCUCCCAGACUUUCAGAUGACAUCUUUAGUACGAAAGCUUAACAAGAAAGAAAAACAUCCUUCUCUUCCAGAGGACGUGAGGGGAAAAUCCUGGCUCCCUGCCCCUCAACCCCCAAUGUCUCUGGUGGCACGUGGAGGGGUGAGCCCAGCUGUCCUGGGACAGAGCGGCUGGAGAGAAGGCACAGUGUGGUGAAGCUCGGUUGAGUGACAGUUCCUGGUUUUGGAGACAUUCCGUGCAGGGCGAUCCCAGGACGCGGCUGCCGACAGCAUCUCCCUCUUCCUGGGCACAAGGAAGAGAAAAAAGAGAGAAUAUAUGUAUGUAUGUAUUUUAAUACCACAUUGUUUUGUAUUUUUCGCCUGCAUAAAUCUGGUGAUGUAUCUUCUCUCAGAGGAUGAAGGGUAAUACAGGAGUAAUUAAAACACUUACUUUGGAGAUGGGCUGCAUGGGGCUGAUAAGAAUUAUCUGCCACAUAUCAAGCACCCUUCUUCCCCCAAACCAUAUCACAAAGACAGACAGAAAAUGCCAGCAGAAUAGGCUCUCUCUCCCUCCUUUUCCCUACUCACAUUUCUACCUCCAUUAUGAUGAUAAUUCCUUUCCCGCUAAACUUUUCUGCUUCCCUUCCCGAACCGUAUUUCGUUC